rnacentral:lncRNA from 10 species
AUAAGCGUGAGCCACUGCACCCGGCUGUAGACACAUUUUUUAAAAGAGAAAAAGAAACUGUCAAUCUUUUUAAAUAAUGUAUUUCCAAAAUAUAAUUUCAACACGUAAUUAAUAUUAAAAAGUAUUAAGAUAUUUUGCAGGCUUUUUUUUCUGUAGUAAGUUUCCAAAACCAGGCGUGUAUGCUGAUGGCACGCGUCGCCUGGCACUCUGGAGUCACAUGUGGUUGCAGCUAUGAUAUUGGCCAUGGCGAUUCUACAGCUAAAGCCGAGAGGAAGUUUGUCCAGAGAACAAGUCGGGGUGGGGAUCUCAGUAGAGGGAACCGCACCUGAGUAGAGGCACAAAGGAGGGAACAGCCAGUGCAGCCAGGAUGUAGGGGGGCUGGCCAGGGACGGCCAUGGGGGCCGUGGGGGCCGUGGGCAGGGUUUGGGCUUUGUCCUGUGCACACUUCAGGAGCCACUGGAGAGCACCCACCAGGCAGCAGGGGAAGGAAGGGUCAGAGGCCCGGAUGGACCAGAGGCGGGAGGGCAGCCAGGCCUGGGGCCCACACCUGGGCUCAGCGGGCAGGAUCGGAGGACCGGCUUCUGGUUGAUGUGGGGAGGGCCCAGGGAGAAUGGGGAAAAGAAGACAGGGAGGUUUCCAGAGCGUGUCGGCCUCUCUCCUCGUUUCCUGAUCCACCUCAUCUCCAUGGGCACGUUUUCCUUCUGAGAAGAGCUGGGAAGCCCGUCAGCAGGCGGGCCUCUGUCCUCACCUCCACUAACCUGGCCCUUGCAGGCGUCCCAGGCUUCCAGGGCCAGCCCCCUGGGGUUUGGCACCCUGCAGCCUCUGACUUUCUCUUCACUGCUCCUUUGGGAGCACGUGCCAGAAGAGACACUGCCUCCGUGGCUGGCACGGACGACGACGCCCAGCAGGCAGCUGUCUCAGGAGGACAGGCCCAGCUGCAGGAAAGGGCAGCCCCGGGCUUCUGGCAGGGGCUGAGGCAGGGAGGCCAGCCCUACCUGGGGGCUGGAGGUGGCGUUGAGUGGGGGUGUAGGGGGUCCGCAGACGGCAGCUGAAGCCCCUUCUCUGCAGGUUAUGCUGGUGCGAUUCCCUUUUAGGAAGUAGAGUCCGUGUGGAGAGAACGGUGAGCCGCCUGCGUCCUGUUGCGAUUCAGCCCCUGUGUCUUCCCGGAGGGCCCUGCGCCCGCCUUUUGUUCCUAGGACUCGGUGCCUUUCUGAACCCAGUCUAAAAAUUGCCGCAGCUCUUUCUGGCGUUAGUCACUGCCUGGUGAUUAAGGCUUCAGUCCGUCAAUCUUUAAAUCCUACAAUUAUUUCUCCACCCAGGUUUUUAAGAAUAAAAGUUGAAAAUGUACUGAACUGACAGCUACCGGAUUUGAUUCCUAUUUGAUUCGUACCUUUCCCGAGUGGCCCCGAUCGCCACCGCAGCGCCACGUCCUGGCAAAUCAUUCACGCCGACCUUGAGAACUCAGCAGAGGUGCAGACUGACACUCAGCCCCGCCCCCUAUCACGGGCUUUCUGCGGGUGAAAGGAGACGUUGCUUUUGUUCCCCACAAGCAACUGCAGGCAGUGCUACUUAUUUUUAACACAGUUGAGCGGGCAACUUUAUCUUAAAUGAUUAUGUGCUGAAAUCUGCUGAUGAAAACGCUAUAAGAUGGGCAUGGGCAGGGGUGGCCGCCAGAUGUGUUCUGCGUGACAGCUUUUUCUGAACCUGCUGGACAAAGUCCCCACUUGUUGCCCGCUCAGCCCCGGUCACAGCCCCACCUCGCCGGGGCUUGUCUUCAGUUCCUCACACUGCCACGCUCUUGACCCACUCAUUGGCCUCUUUGUGGGGACCCUUCAGCCAGAAGGCCCUUCCCCUUUCCUGCCCAGCUCUGGCCCAGACCUGCCACAUGGAGGCUGUUAGAGGUGGAAUGUCUGAGGCCUCCAAAUGCAUGUGUUGAAACCUAAUCCCCAGAGGGAUGGUAUUUGGCGAUGGAGUUUCCCAGAAGUGGCUUGGUUUGUGCUGGCUGCUAUAGCAAGUACAGUCAUGGGUCGCCUAGUGAGAUCUGUUUUGAGAAAUGCAUGCUCGGGCGAUAUCACUGUCGUGCAGACCUCACAGCAUUCACUCACACAAACCCGGCUAGCACAGCCCGUGACACACCUCAGCCCUGUGCUGUAACCUGCUGUUCCCAGGCUACAAACCUGCAGAGCAUGUCACUGCACCAGAUACUGUGGGCC